GCGUUUUAUUUUUCGUCGCGCAGCAGAUUCCAGUGCUGUUGUUGCAGAAGUAGCAUCAGCAGCUGGUUCACCUGCUUGUGGCUUGCAGGAGGGGGUGGCACUCCGCCAGCUCGUCCACCUGGACGGGCCGGUAUGUACGGAGUUGGUGCAACGUCGAGUUCAACGCGAGGAGCAGGCUGAGAAAAUCAGCAGCAUCAGCAGCAGGUCAGCGCCAGCCUGCGCAAGGGCGCCAACCGGAGACACAGCCAGCGGCAGCAGGGUGGCAAGCGACAGGAGACCAUGGGUGAAGAUGAUCUGGGUCUCAGCGGGGCCUCUGCAGAGGACGUGGAAGGAGAGCUGAUCCGGCACGUGUGUGAGACCGAGCUUCUGGCAGCGCGGCCGCCGUGGAAGGCCCCUCCGGCUCUCCUCAAGGCCAUCGCCAGCAUCUUGACGGCCACGAGCGAGCGUUGGUUUUGUGAUGGAGGCACGGCAGCACCAGGCCCUGGCCUCCCUCGCCGAUCUUCUUCCGCACCUCAUAGCGGUAGUGGAGCUGUUCCUGGCGGAUCGAGGGAGGCGGAGGCCGGUGGUCAGUCAUGGCAAUCGGAACGUUUAACGCUCGGUGGCAGCAGCAGUCGGGGACUUCUGCGACCGGCAUUAUCCACAACGGAGGUUUUUUUUUUAGUUUGGGGUUAGAUCGCGUAAAUAUAUAAACGUGUCGUUAAACUACUGAACGCUGUGAAACUUGGGGGGCUGUUUGCCUUUUGGCGUUCUCUCGUCUAACACUGGGUAGUGAGACACUGG